AAGCCCAGCCUGCAGCCUGCAGCCUGCAGCCUGAUGUCUGGGCAAAGGCCUCAGCAGACAAACUGUUCAGUCAUUGGCUGCACAGCCCAACACACAUUUACAUAUGUACAUUUAUGUAAAUUAUUUUUUACAAUGUCCGGCUAGAGUCAGAAAAACCGGAAAGUGUGUGACCCACUUUGUGUCGGACUGCUUUCACAACCUCGGUCAGUACAACAGUGGACUGGCUGAAAGACUGUUCCUGAAAGAGGGAUUGUACCAACUGUCUGUGGAGAGACGGCAGAGGAAGUAACUGGAAGUAUUUUUAAGAAUUGAUGCUGUUUUUCAUUGUUCGUGUAAUGCUAGCACAUGCUAACAGUUGUUAGCUACAGGAGCCUCAGUGAAGCUAACAGAAUAAGUGACCUGAUGAAGCUCAGGUGUUCCUGGACCGAUCAGAGGACAGAGACAGCUGCAGCAUCAGGACAGUCUGGGUAUCCAAAGGAAGACUCAACAAGAUGAACACUGACUGCAGAGCUCCAUUACCAGCUCACACUUCAAUAUACUAGAAACCAUAAACCUUGAUGUAGGACAUAGUCUGCACAGUUUACAUAAAAGUUAUAGCUUUGUUACUUACAACAUGUGUAACUGGAAUAUGAAAGAUAAAUAAAGUGUUUUACUUUUAAGAAGA